CUGCCUCCCUCUUAAGCCGCUUCUCCGCAAAGUACUCGCCAUAGCUCAUGAUCCAAAACCUCUCGAUCUCCUCUGCUUUCCUCCCUGUGACUCGACCGGCUAUCAGACCCCACCUGCAUAGCACCACAACGACUUGGGAGGUAUCCGAAGGUUAAACUGAACCCUCUUAACAUCAUAUAUCUGUCUACUGUCCUGUAACUUUCGUACAUUAACCUUAAAGAGUUGUCAGCAUCAUCGGUUUAUGUGCAUCCUCGCAUUGCUAUCUCUAUCAUGAUCAUCAUCAUCAUCGUAUUUCCUGAUGCUAAUUAUUAUUGAUGCCAUUAGCCAUAAAACUUUGAAUUCACCGAGAAGGAAGUUAUGAAACGGAGACAGAGAGCGGGGUAAGAAAUUGCUGCUAUUGUAGUAAAGUUUUUAAUGUUAGCAGGUCAGAUGGAUGGAUUGAAUCACCCACAGAAUCUGUCACUUGCACCUGUCUGUACAGGUGAAUUUAAGAUGCAUUUAAUGGGAUGAUGUGAUCUACUAUAGACCUGAUUGAUAGGACAUCAACGUAUCAAGUCCGUGCAGCUUCGCAGCCUUUCCCGUCCCUCUUUUUUGCUGCUUCACCUUUUCAAAUGAGAGCAGAGUUUCCAAGAAUCAUUUCAUGUUUCACCUUCUCUCACUUGGAAAAGGUGGAUUCUGGAACUCAAGCCCUCAGGAUCUAAAAGACACAUACUGUGAUCAUCAUAAAUAAUCUCUAUCGAUGCUUUUUUAUUCUUACUUUCGUUAUGACAAUUCCAAAGUUUAUUUGAUGGCUUUUACAAACAGAUGGCCUUAUACCAUGACUGCACUAUCAUGAUGAGAUUCCUGUUUGUUGAUGCAAGACAUGCAAGAAGAUGGCAUGCUUGGCAGUCCACUAGUAUGAUAUGAGUCUAUAAUCUUGUUUGCUAUGUUUUCCGAAAGAGAAAAUGACAUGAAUCUUAAAGCCAGAGAGGGAGAUGGUAAGGCUUGCCUGUCGCCAACAAGCCUGUACAUCCUGUGGAUGAGGUCUUCCUCUUGCUCUGACAUGUCGAUGAACUCCCACUCCUUGCUACUGACAUCUGCAGAACAAAGACACAAAGUUCAUGAGAUAUCAAGCAAGAAGAGGAAUGAAGACAGCAUGAGACCUUCGAGUUCACGGUAGAUGGUUUCCUGCUGCAGUCUGCAGCUGCGCUUGCCCAUGGAUUUAGGGAAGGAAGAUUGGUCUGCCAAGAAGAAGAAGAAGCAAAGCAGGAGAAAGAGAAGUAAGAUGGCUGGGACUUGGUGCCUUCAUAUGCUCAGAGAGUGUUGUAGGCAUAAACUUCCGAGUUCCAGGGGGCCAUGGUGAUUACAGAUUGCAGAUCGCAGAUUGCAGAUUGCAGAGGUAGGAAAUGGUGGAGGAAGGGAUACAGUUCCAUCUCGCCAUGUCUAUUAAGAAAGCAGC